CGUGGAGGGGGUUUGUUUCUCUCCCACUUGCAGGAGGAUGGGUCUCAGCACGCACCUCGAGUAUCUCAUCCUGGCUGCAUGCCUGGGGAAACCACUGGGCACCGUGGGGCAGACCACCGUCACCCAGCAAGAAGGGCAAGUCACGCUGAAGCAGAGAGACACCUUCCAAACCACCUGCACAUACCAGAUCUCUGGCUUUAGAGGCUUGUUCUGGUACCAGCAGAGGAAAGGCCAAGGCCCCCAGCUGGUCUCCUACCAGGUAGCUGCUGGCUCCAAGCAGAGCGGCCGUUUCACCACGUUGCUGAACACCGCAGGGAAAUCCAGUGUCCUGAAGCUGGAGGAAGUUGAGGUCUCUGACAGUGCCUUGUACCUCUGUGCUGUGCGAGACACCCCGUUACAGGGAGCUUCCUUGGCUGUGCAAGAACCCAGGGGAGGGAGGGGAUGUGUCUGCAAGGCUGAGUUAGAUUACUUUACGUCCUUCAACAAGUAA